AAAAAACACAAAGUUUGCCAUUCUUCUCUAUGUGAAAACAAGUCUUGUUUGUUUUGCUACAGAAAAGUCAAAUGGAAGAACAAAGGGAGCUCUUGGAAAUGAAUGGAGGAGGACAUUUUAGCCUUGGAAGAGGGACUAUUGAAGCGUCCUUGCUUGGUAAUAUUUUUUUUCUUCUUGCUCGAUGAGAUGUUUUAUUCUGUUAUUUUUCAUGUUUGCCCUCUCUAGGUUCAAGAUUAAUAUGUUGAUCUUGUCUUUUACUUGUUUCCUCAUUUGUAGUCGGAGAAUCAUAUGGUUGGACUCUCUCUAUACUUAAUGUUAUUGUUGCAAUUUCCAAGA